UUUAAAUCACUUUCAUUUAUUUGUGCAGAUCGGCUUUUUUUUUUUUAAGGAAAAAACAGCGCACCUUUUAGAUGCACCAAGUCAUUUUCCCUCCACGCUACGCUCCAGUCCAGCGGGUGGCGCUAAGACACAUGUUUGUUAAACCUCAGAGGAAGAAGAUUAGUUUUACCGUGCUUUCUGUUGUUUUGUCGGGAUGCUUGCUUGGUACAAACAGAUAGAAAUGUUGUUUCUGUAAAUAUAAUAAUACAGUUUUGGAAUCAGGUCAGUAAAUAUCUGUAAUAUUCUCAUCCUCACAGUAGUGACUAAGUUUUGAAGCAAGCAGGAAUAUCUGGAGGAGUAUCAUCUGAGCUGAGAUCUGCUGCUGUGAAGAUGGUGUUUGUUAAAGAGGAGAGUGAAGAGGACACGAGUGAACCAGAAACCUGGAGAAUAAAACACGAGGAACCAGAAACCUGGAGAAUAAAACACGAAGAACCAGAAACCUGGAGAACAAAACACGAGGAACCAGAAACCUGGAGAAUAAAACACGAGGAACCAGAAACCUGGAGAAUAAAACACGAAGAACCAGAAACCUGGAGAACAAAACACGAGGAACCAGAGCCCUGGAGAAUAAAAUAUGAGGAACAAGGAGCAUUGGUGCUCCCAACUUCAAGAAGUUGCACCAUCAAAAAUUUAGGAGCAUAUUAAGGAGCAUCACAACCGCCAAUUGAGCAGAAGGUCUGGCAAUAUCCUGAUGAUUAAAAGCUUCAUCGAUUGAACCUGAUCCUGAAUUCUUUGAUCUCUCUUGGUCAAUUCUUGCUAAUACUUUAGAAGCCUGAAGACAGUGAAAGAAGAAAGACAAGAUCUGAAUGAAGUGGAGGAGAAACAUAAGGAUCAGAAAGAAAAAUCAGUGAAUUGCAACAUUCAAAUAACAGACGUCAAUAAGCCUUUCAGCUGCUCUCAGUGUGGAAACACUUACAAAUAUAAAGGAAGCCUUAAGAAGCACAUGCUAAUUCAUGCUGGAAUAAAGCCUUUUACCUGCUCUCAUUGUGGAAAGAGUUUUACACAGAAAGGAGACCUUAUGGAUCAUUUGGUAACUCACUCUUCAGAAAAACCUUUCAGCUGCUCUCAGUGUGGAAAGAGUUUCACACGUAAAAGAUACCUUAACACUCACAUGUUAAUUCAUACUGGAAAAAAGCCUUUUACCUGCUCUCAGUGUGGAAAGAGUUUCAUAUGUAAAGGAAUCCUGAGGAAUCACAUGUUAAUUCACACUGGAGUAAAGUCUUUCAGCUGCUGUGAGUGUGGAAAGAGUUUUACACAGAAAGGACACCUUCAGAAUCAUUUGGUAACUCACUCUUCAGAAAAGCCUUUCAGCUGCUCUCAGUGUGGAAAGUCUUUCACACGUAAAGGAUACCUUGAGACUCACAUGUUAAGUCAUGCUGGGUAAAAGCAUUUCAGCUGCUCUCAAUAUGGAUAUGUAAAUGAGGUUUUGAUCAUCACACAAUAAUUCACACUAAAUAACAAUUCAUGCAAAUUAAAAGCCUUACGUCUGUCCUUUUUGUGGCAGGAUAUUUCUAUGGGUUUUAAAAGUGUUAAAAAAAAAUUGUGUGCCGUGUCAGGAUGGAUAUUGUUAAGGUUUUAAAGCUAUUACUGCUCUUACUUUGAGUCCCUUUGGCUCAAUUCUCAGGAUGUGAACUUUUUCUCUCAAAACUGUAAAACUACGUAAUAUGUACAAGCUCUCUGAACAGUUAGUUUCUUGUUCUGUUUAUAUGUAACAUACUGCUACACAAAUAAAAGUACUCUAUAAA